UUUCCUUUAAGUUUCAGCCUUGCGACCGUACUCCCCAGGCGGCGAGCUUAACGGCUUCCCUGCGACACUUCGAUCGCGAACUGCGAUCGAAUCAUCUAGCUCGCAUCGUUUACGGCUGGGACUACCCGGGUAUUUAGUGGGCAGGCCUAUGCCUGCUCCAUAUCUAAUCCGGUUCGCUCCCCCAGCUUUCACCCCUCACCGUCGAGCGCGUUCUGGCGGACCGCCUUCGCCAUUCACCAAGCCUGUGAUGUUAUCACAAGCAAUCUGGUGGUCUUCCGCGGAUCAAAGGAUUUUACCCCUACACGCGGAGUACCGUCCGCCUCUCCCGCCUC
rnacentral:rRNA from 1 species